GCACCUGUAGCUUAAACUGGCUAAUUGCGAUACCAGAAGGUUGUAAUGGCUCUUCCGGAGGUCGGCUUGCUUAACCAGGGCAUCGGCAGACCGAGCGAAAGCUGAACCUUCAAUUGGAUGGUCAUCUGCAAAAAGCACCGGCUUUGGGAGCUGGGAAAUGCGGGUUCGAGUCCCGUCGGGUGCGCCA
rnacentral:tRNA from 1 species